CAAGUCGAGCGGUAAGGCCCCUUCGGGGGUACACGAGCGGCGAACGGGUGAGUAACACGUGAGCAAUCUGCCCAUCACAUCGGGAUAACUCCGGGAAACCGAAGCUAAUACCGAAUACAACCACUUCAGACAUCUGACGGUGGUGGAAAGUUCCGGCGGUGAUGGAUGAGCUCGCGGCCUAUCAGCUAGUUGGUGAGGUAACGGCCCACCAAGGCUUCGACGGGUAGCCGGCCUGAGAGGGUGACCGGCCACACUGGGACUGAGACACGGCCCAGACUCCUACGGGAGGCAGCAGUGGGGAAUAUUGGACAAUGGGCGAAAGCCUGAUCCAGCAACGCCGCGUGAGGGAUGACGGCCUUCGGGUUGUAAACCUCUUUCAGCAGGGACGAAGCGCAAGUGACGGUACCUGCAGAAGAAGCACCGGCCAACUACGUGCCAGCAGCCGCGGUAAUACGUAGGGUGCGAGCGUUGUCCGGAAUUAUUGGGCGUAAAGGGCUCGUAGGCGGUCCAUCGCGUCGGGAGUGAAAAGCUGGGGCUUAACCCCAGUCCUGCUUCCGAUACGGGUGGACUAGAGGUAGGUAGGGGAGAACGGAAUUCCUGGUGUAGCGGUGAAAUGCGCAGAUAUCAGGAGGAACACCGAUGGCGAAGGCAGAUCUCUGGGCCGUAACUGACGCUGAGGAGCGAAAGCAUGGGGAGCGAACAGGAUUAGAUACCCUGGUAGUCCAUGCCGUAAACGUUGGGAACUAGAUGUGGGGACCAUUCCACGGUCUCCGUGUCGCAGCUAACGCAUUAAGUUCCCCGCCU
rnacentral:rRNA from 1 species